rnacentral:tRNA from 1 species
GGAGGAGUCGCAUAGCGGCCAAUUGCACAGGAUUGCUAAUCCUGAGCCCUUACCGGCUACGUGGGUUCGAAUCCCACCUCCUCCG